UAACGAUUGUUGGCUGCCGUU
rnacentral:siRNA from 1 species